AAUUCGUUAAGGAUUGAAGUGGAAAACCUUUUUGCGCAUUUUUAGCGAAAAAAGUUUGGAACGGAAAGCCUGACCCGCC
rnacentral:sRNA from 1 species